AAAGCGUCUGUAAAGAGGGUCGAGACAACUGUAAAUGAGAAUAUACAUCGGUCAACGUGACUUCUAUUCAACAGUGAGUUUAACAUCGCUCAGCUAUUGGUCAAAAUGCAUCACCGGUGAGUUCACCGAUGAGUUAAACUGCAGCAAUAUGUGUCUAUGGUCGCAAUCCCAAGGUUCAUUGCGAUCCCAAGGUCCACUGCGGUUUUCCACGCGAUGCAGAACCUUUAGACACUGGAUUAAUGUUCUGG